rnacentral:tRNA from 1 species
UGAUUGGUAGCUCAGUGGUGGAGUGCAUGCUUUGUGUGUAUGAUAUCCUGGAUUCAAUCCCCAGCUUCUUCC